rnacentral:rRNA from 1 species
AGAGUUUGAUCCUGGCUCAGGACGAACGCUGGCGGCGUGCCUAAUACAUGCAAGUCGAACGAAGCUUUCUUUCACCGAAUGCUUGCAUUCACCGAAAGAAGCUUAGUGGCGAACGGGUGAGUAACACGUAGGCAACCUGCCCAAAAGAGGGGGAUAACACUUGGAAACAGGUGCUAAUACCGCAUAACCAUGAACACCGCAUGAUGUUCAUGUAAAAGACGGCUUUUGCUGUCACUUUUGGAUGGGCCUGCGGCGUAUUAACUUGUUGGUGGGGUAACGGCCUACCAAGGUGAUGAUACGUAGCCGAACUGAGAGGUUGAUCGGCCACAUUGGGACUGAGACACGGCCCAAACUCCUACGGGAGGCAGCAGUAGGGAAUCUUCCACAAUGGACAAAAGUCUGAUGGAGCAACGCCGCGUGAAUGAAGAAGGCCUUCGGGUCGUAAAAUUCUGUUGUCAGAGAAGAACGUGCGUGAGAGUAACUGUUCACGUAUUGACGGUAUCUGACCAGAAAGCCACGGCUAACUACGUGCCAGCAGCCGCGGUAAUACGUAGGUGGCGAGCGUUGUCCGGAUUUAUUGGGCGUAAAGGGAACGCAGGCGGUCUUUUAAGUCUGAUGUGAAAGCCUUCGGCUUAACCGAAGUAGUGCAUUGGAAACUGGAAGACUUGAGUGCAGAAGAGGAGAGUGGAACUCCAUGUGUAGCGGUGAAAUGCGUAGAUAUAUGGAAGAACACCAGUGGCGAAAGCGGCUCUCUGGUCUGUAACUGACGCUGAGGUUCGAAAGCGUGGGUAGCAAACAGGAUUAGAUACCCUGGUAGUCCACGCCGUAAACGAUGAGUGCUAAGUGUUGGAGGGUUUCCGCCCUUCAGUGCUGCAGCUAACGCAUUAAGCACUCCGCCUGGGGAGUACGGUCGCAAGACU